GUGGAUUAGAUACCCUGGUAGUCCACGCCGUAAACGAUGUCAACUAGCCGUUGGGAGCCUUGAGCUCUUAGUGGCGCAGCUAACGCAUUAAGUUGACCGCCUGGGGAGUACGGCCGCAAGGUUAAAACUCAAAUGAAUUGACGGGGGCCCGCACAAGCGGUGGAGCAUGUGGUUUAAUUCGAAGCAACGCGAAGAACCUUACCAGGCCUUGACAUCCAAUGAACUUUCCAGAGAUGGAUUGGUGCCUUCGGGAACAUUGAGACAGGUGCUGCACGGCUGUCGUCAACU
rnacentral:rRNA from 1 species